UACGUAGGGGGCUAGCGUUGUCCGGAAUGAUUGGGCGUAAAGCGUCCGCAGGUGGCAGUUCAAGUCUGCUGUCAAAGACCGGGGCUUAACUUCGGAAAGGCAGUGGAAACUGAACAGCUAGAGUAUGGUAGGGGCAGAGGGAAUUCCUGGUGUAGCGGUGAAAUGCGUAGAGAUCAGGAAGAACACCUGCGGCGAAGGCGGGUUGCUGGGCUGACACUGACGCUGAGGCGCGAAAGCUAGGGGAGCGAACGGG
rnacentral:rRNA from 1 species